GUCUCUGUAGUGCAAUGGAUUGCACGCUGGACUUUUAAUCCGAAGGUCGUGGGUUCGAAUCCCAUCUGGGGUG
rnacentral:tRNA from 1 species